rnacentral:rRNA from 1 species
UUGCUUCUCUGAUGUUAGCGGCGGACGGGUGAGUAACACGUGGAUAACCUACCUAUAAGACUGGGAUAACUUCGGGAAACCGGAGCUAAUACCGGAUAAUAUUUUGAACCGCAUGGUUCAAAAGUGAAAGACGGUCUUGCUGUCACUUAUAGAUGGAUCCGCGCUGCAUUAGCUAGUUGGUAAGGUAACGGCUUACCAAGGCAACGAUGCAUAGCCGACCUGAGAGGGUGAUCGGCCACACUGGAACUGAGACACGGUCCAGACUCCUACGGGAGGCAGCAGUAGGGAAUCUUCCGCAAUGGGCGAAAGCCUGACGGAGCAACGCCGCGUGAGUGAUGAAGGUCUUCGGAUCGUAAAACUCUGUUAUUAGGGAAGAACAUAUGUGUAAGUAACUGUGCACAUCUUGACGGUACCUAAUCAGAAAGCCACGGCUAACUACGUGCCAGCAGCCGCGGUAAUACGUAGGUGGCAAGCGUUAUCCGGAAUUAUUGGGCGUAAAGCGCGCGUAGGCGGUUUUUUAAGUCUGAUGUGAAAGCCCACGGCUCAACCGUGGAGGGUCAUUGGAAACUGGAAAACUUGAGUGCAGAAGAGGAAAGUGGAAUUCCAUGUGUAGCGGUGAAAUGCGCAGAGAUAUGGAGGAACACCAGUGGCGAAGGCGACUUUCUGGUCUGUAACUGACGCUGAUGUGCGAAAGCGUAGGGAUCAAACAGGAUUAGAUAC